rnacentral:rRNA from 1 species
UACGAAGGGAGCUAGCGUUGUUCGGAAUCACUGGGCGUAAAGCGCACGUAGGCGGAUGUGUCAGUCAGGGGUGAAAUCCCGGAGCUCAAUUUCGGAACUGCCUUUGAUACAGCACAUCUGGAGUCCGGAAGAGGUGGGUGGAAUUCCUAGUGUAGAGGUGAAAUUCGUAGAUAUUAGGAAGAACACCAGUGGCGAAGGCGGCUCACUGGCCCGGUACUGACGCUGAGGUGCGAAAGCGUGGGGAGCAAACAGG